rnacentral:tRNA from 1 species
CGACCGGUAGCUCAUCGGCAGAGCGGUGCCCUUACAAGGCGCGCGUGGCAGGUUCGACUCCUGCUCGGUCGA